rnacentral:misc_RNA from 1 species
ACCCGCACACAACCGCAAGCACCCAGGCCGGCGUGCUGUGCCGCUUCGCCUUGCUCAUUUGUUUUUUUGUGUCAUCUGCAUCUCCCCUCUCCCCGCACAGUGACACGAGCAGCGCCGGUGUACAGUUCGGUGCUUUUGGAGAGUUCAUUUAUCGAGGAUGCUCGGCGCACAGUCUGCUCCUUCGUUCCUGCCGGCGUCGGCGUUGUCGUCGUCAGCGCCGCAGUGCCCGCCGCCUCAGCAGCUGAUUGAGCGCAGGCCACACGACACACUUGUGCAGCAUUCCCCGUACGGGCCGUCACGGAACACCACCUACGGGUGGGGCAAUCCCUUCCGACCCCCCAUGACCGCCACCGUUCCUAGCCACCCGUGCAUCCACAUCGGGAUCAGCUCGCUGAACGGCGUGCCGACUGUCGGGCAAUCGGACAGGUCGAUGCGCAGCCUGCUGACUCAGUACCGCAAGAAGUUCAACUGCUUGGAGCACUGCUACCCUUACCAUAAGGUAGGAGACGAGGGGACAUGGAAGACGUGGGCGGACAUGGUAAGGAACAGCAAUGCCGCCGACGGCGGCCGCAUCCAUUCACUCAAAACGGUAUCGGCGCCCCCACUACACACCGUUGAAGGCGCCGCUGCCGCUGAUGUCGCCUCCGCGGGAGCGACGCCGUUGUGCCCUCUCACCGUCAACGCCAACCGCUUCUUGUACACCAUCAAGGCGAACAACCUCCUCACUCACGUCAAGCAGCUGCAGAUGGACGACGCGGAUGUGCUGGCUCACGUGCAGGUUUUUUUCCAAGAGCGGUGCCCACUGCUGGAGCCGUUUUUGGGCCCCGUGCUGGUGCAGCUACCGCCGUCCUUUGGGUACUCACCUGAGAACGUGCAGCGACUCACUCGGCUGCAUCAGCUACUUUCCCAAGAGGAAGUGCUGCUGCUAGAGACAAGGUCGGUGUCGCCUAAGGCUUUUUCGUCUUCAGGAACCUCCUCGACAACAGCGCCGUCCUCGAGUGCACCGCGGAGGCAGCGACGCCUCCGCGUCGCUGUGGAGUUCCGAAGUCGCUCGUGGUACCGCGACGAGACGUUCGCCCUCCUGCGCUCCUUUCGCUGGGCGCUUGUGGUGGCGCACCACCACGAUGACCCGACGUACUCGCAAGUGGUCGACACCGGUGCGGGUUUCCUCUACGUCCGUCUACACGGGCCGCUCGGGCGCAACAUGGGCGACUAUGGCCCUUUGGCGAUGCGGCUGUGGGCAGAGAAGAUGGUGCAGUACCUCCGUUCGGAAAGGAGCCCUGCCGAAGGCAGCCCGACGAGUGCAUUACCAGACGAAACGACGCGUGAGGUGUUUAUUUUCCUGAACAACAGCGACUCCAAUGUAGGCGGCACGACGAGCUCGGUCGUGGACGCGACAUGCCUUGCUGAGCAGAUGCGAAACCUACUCCAGUGCAAAUCCUCGCGGCCACCUCCCGCCGAAACUGCGGCUGCUUCACCAUCUCCUCGUGUGAGCGCCGAUCCGCAGCUAGUCAUGGCGUGCGUUGAAGCGAAAACUCCGAUGGCGGUGCCCGAAGACGACUGUCGCGCUUCUUGUGCUCAGCACGUGCAGGACGAGGCGGACACUCCACCGCCCAAGCGACAGUGCACGGCGCAGCGAAGCAGCGGCACGCGCGAAGACGAGGUCGUGAUCGAUUAACGCUGCCGUGAGAGAGGGGCAUGUGGGCCUCGUUACAGCGCCGUUUUCAGCGCCAAGAGGAAUGAGCGAGGCUCAAACCUUUUUUUCCCUCCGGCACACCAUCACAGCUUUCCCUCCUGUGCCAUCUCUAUGCCUAUCGCCCUCGGUCGUGUGCGUGUGCAUCCUUUCGAAACUUCCUGCGUCACUGUUACACUUACACACACCCGCACACGGCGACAUCCACUCAAGCCCACACCCGAGAAGAGGAACAACGCCAAAAAAGGCAGGGGGUAGGUGAGGCUAUGCGGAAGCGCAGAGCCUUGGGCAUUCGGAGCGCACCGCAAUCAACAGAAGUCGUAUGGCGAAACAAAGAGAGACAGCAGGCUUGAGCUGGAGCUCUCGCUUGCCUCGCCUUCUUUCUCUCCAUAUCCCUUCUCGAUGCUGCGCAGCCGGCGGCAAUACAGAGGGCACGCGUCCUUGUGUCUCUUCACUCGGGGCUUGUGUUUGCGCGCACGACGUGGAGCAGCGGAAGCCGCGUCUCUCUCCCUCCCUUGCUGGCCCUCUGCUACUCUGCAUAAAGCCCUCAUCUCUGUAUCCUGCCUAUCCAACUACGAUUUGCAUCUUCUCGGCUUUCGCGUCUUUCCUUUCUCGGCUUCCGCCUUCUGCAUGCGUGUACGUGUGCGUGUCUACGCACACAUCACGGCGUUGGCCAAG